AACGGCCGCGGUAUCCUAACCGUGCAAAGGUAGCAUAAUCACUUGUCCCCUAAAUAGGGACCACAAUGAACGGCUAAAUGAGGACUAAACUGUCUCUUACAGAUUGGCCAAUGAAAUUGAUUUCCCAGUACAAAAGCUGGAAUAUACCCAUAAGACGAGAAGACCCUGUGGAGCUUCAAAACCAAACCACUUAGUAUGUCCCUUGGUUUUUUAGUUGGGGCGACUUCGGAAUACAACAAAACUUCCAAAAAAACUAACUCAUUAAGGUUAACACACCAAAAUCUCCACACAGACCCAGCAAUUAAUUUGUCUGACCAAUGAACCAAGUUACCCCAGGGAUAACAGCGCAAUCUCCUUUUAGAGUCCAUAUCGACAAGGGGGUUUACGACCUCGAUGUUGGAUCAGGACACCCCA
rnacentral:rRNA from 1 species